rnacentral:rRNA from 1 species
GAUUAUGGCUCAGGAUGAACGCUAGCUACAGGCUUAACACAUGCAAGUCGAGGGGCAGCAUUGGAGUAGCAAUACUCAGAUGGCGACCGGCGCACGGGUGAGUAACACGUAUCCAACCUGCCGCUUACUCGGGGAUAGCCUUUCGAAAGAAAGAUUAAUACCCGAUGGUAUAAAGAGUUCGCAUGUUCUCUUUAUUAAAGAAUUUCGGUAAGCGAUGGGGAUGCGUUCCAUUAGAUAGUUGGCGGGGUAACGGCCCACCAAGUCUACGAUGGAUAGGGGUUCUGAGAGGAAGGUCCCCCACAUUGGAACUGAGACACGGUCCAAACUCCUACGGGAGGCAGCAGUGAGGAAUAUUGGUCAAUGGACGAGAGUCUGAACCAGCCAAAAGUAGCGUGAAGGAUGACUGCCCUAUGGGUUGUAAACUUCUUUUAUAAGGGAAUAAAGUGAGGGACGUGUCCCUUUUUGUAUGUACCUUAUGAAUAAGGAUCGGCUAACUCCGUGCCAGCCGCGGC